CAGCACUGUGACUGACGGCCCCCAAACCCGGGUGGGGUGACGGGGCACGAGGCCGGGAUUCCACCGCAGGACUCUGAGGAGAAAAAAAGAAAACAGCUCCUGUUGCCUUUUGCCUCUCAUCCAGAAAGGCAUCCAUCUGCCUUUCUAAUAUCUCUUCAUCCUGUCAGGCCACAAAUGGCUCGUUGACCAUGAACAAAUUAGAAGCAGUUUUAUUCAUGGAUUACACCUAAAGCCCUAUUCAGCCCUUCUUUAGAGUCUCACCUGUUGGCCAGGCUGGAGUCCUAUGGCGUGAUCUCAGCUCACUGCAACUUCCACCUCCCAGGAUCAAGCAAUUCUCCUGCCUCAGCCUCCCAAGUAGCUGGGAUUACAGAAGGUAUUUCUAUCAAUCCCAAUAUGAAGAAUGCAAAGGAUUUAAAAGUUUACAGACAUCAUCUGGAUAACUUCAUAAUCAUACAAGGAGGAGACAGUGGAUUAAAUUAAACAGUAGUGCAUAUCACUUGGCUGAAGUGACAGGAAUAAAGAACAGAAUGCAUCCACUCCUCCAGUCUCAUUAAGCUGCCUCUUUCUCCUGAAAUUGGAUUGGGAUUCCAGGACACCUCUCAACCUACAGGAAACACUGGAUCUAAAGCUGAAACAGGUUAGAGUGGGAGAUCCCGUAUGACAGAAUGCUCUCCUGGAGAUGAACUGAUUUGUGUUUUUGACUCCAUAUGAGAAGGGACAUGCCAGAUAACCAACUUUGGAACUCACAUUUUGGGAAGAAGGGAUAAGAGGAAGUCCUGGCACCACUGAAGUGAACUCUACUUCCGGAGGCUUUUAAAAAGAUUUGCACAAUACAUCCUUCAUAUUGUUAUUUUUAUCUCUGUAAGUUUGUAAUGGCCUCUAAAAAAAAAGCUGUGUAACAAGAGCAUCAGAUGUUACUUCGCUCACUGCUGAAGGCUGUGAAGAACAGAAGAAAACUAGGAAGAAAACCAAGCUGGGAAGGGCAAUGAAGGAACAGGUUAGAGUUCAAAAGUAAAAGUAUGUUCCACACAAAAGAAAGAGUUCAGGUACGUGAAUCAGCAGCAAUGCAAGGGCAAGAGAUGUGCUUUUAGAGAGAAUUGAACUUGUCAAUGUGACUCAGCUCUGGAAGACCAAAAAAUUAUGGAGGGAGAGGCAGGAGAGGGAAACCAGGUGAAAUGUCCCCAUUUUCUUUGUUUAUCUUCUGGUGAAUCUCAAAAUCUUCUGUUAUUCACACACACACACACGAGCAUGCACUCAUGGAAUGUAUCAGUAUAUGUAUUGUCAAAAUCAGCUCACAGUCUCAUUUCAGUAAAACAGAAAUGUGAUCCCUCACAAGAUGCUGUGUUGCUGAUAAACUGCCUUCUUCUAGGAGACGAGCCACAGUGUCAUUUUCAGUCCUAGAGAUCAUAAGAAAAAGAAGAAAGUCUCUUGGGGAUCUGAAAUGAAUUAGAUUUGAUUUUACAUUUACUGUAAAACGCCAGAAAAUUUACAUUUGUUUUACUUACACCAUAUAUUUUUUCCAAAAGUUAAUCGCUAUGGACUGCAGACAAACAUAUCAAGGUAAAAUAACAACUCUUCUAGAGCAGAAUACAGGUAAAUUUCAGACACAGAUGUGUGCACUAAGAUGUCUGCACAAUGAUUAAAGUUUAGUUGUGAAUUUGCCUUUGAGAUUCCCAUUGGCCAAAAUGAAGAGAAAAGCAUGAUCGGAAUCAAGACUCAAAGUGCCUGGAAGGAAGCAUUUGUCAGGUAUGCUGGAAAAAACAAUAUUUCCAAGAAUUGAGAUGGAAGAAAUUUCUCCAAGGAGAGGAUAUUUUAAUAUAAUAGACAAUGGCCUCAACAAUAUCCCUGCAAUAUGGAACAGUAUGUUUCACACAGCCAUUUUUAAAUACUUCUCAUCAAGUGAAGUGAAGGGCAUAAUGCUGGCACACAACUGAGAAACAGCUAUUAAAUGAGGGUGAAAAGUUCUGAAGACCAAAUAUUCUGCUCUUGGAUUACCUUGGUGAUCAGAAAGUGACUCUAUGUGGACAGGACUAUGUAGCUAGCAUACCUAUUUUAGAGAACACUUGUGCCCCAUCCCAUUGCAUGGCAAAAUCAAGAGAUUUGAUGAAGUUGUACCCUAUAAACCAUUUCAGAUCCUCAACUUUACAACAAAGAAACAUCACCUCAUCCUCAUUCACUCAGAUGAAAAAAGAUCUUUGUGAUAGUAAAAAUGAUAUAUCUGAGGAACCAUUAUAAAAAUUACAUUACACAGGCUAUAUGAAAUAUGCAAAAGCUUUGAAAAAUAAAUGCCUAGAAUAAUCCCCCAUAAAA